ensembl:lncRNA
CAUGUAUCUUGGAAUUCUUCUACCCAAAAGUCACUAACAGUGCUGUACUGGGGAAAGAAUGGACAUUUUUUAGCUUACCCUGGUGCAUUCCAUCUAUGGAUUUAGACUAUUCUUCACAUCAUUUGCAUGAAGAAGCUUACAGCUCUCCCCAGACAGAGUGCGGAUUACAAAUGUGUUGCUGAAGCCAUUGUGUGGAACAAAGGCAAACUCAGAGGACUCUGCUAUGAUGGGAUUCAGCUCAACAUUCUUUCUGUGCCCAAAAACUGUAUAAAUCUUAGCUGGUCCAACCUGAGCUUGACAAUGUAUAAAGAAGCAGAUGGACAAAAGGACCACUCCUUCUCUUGGUUGUAUACCAAAACUGAGGCAGGAGCAGCAUGGUACCUGGCUGUGAUGGAAGCAGAGAGAUGUGCUAAGGUUGAUGCUGUACUGACAACUGCACUAACAACCAGACUCCAAGAAGAGCACACCCUUCAGUGGCACACAAGAUUGCAGCAGCAUGACUUUUGGAUGGCCUUCACUUGCACAGUCUGCAUUACUGGCACAGGGUAUUUGGUCCUUGACAUGAAUUUUCAUGCUCUACCUCAGGUGAGUGCCAGGAAGAAGCACAAUGUGCUCAUCUCCAGCUCACAGAGGCAUUUGGAGACAGGAAGCAAGUUUAAGUGGAGUUUGGCAACACGUGGGGCAAACUUUUCCUGA